rnacentral:rRNA from 1 species
UCUACGUAUCGGAUUUACUGGGCGUAAGGGCGCGUAGGCGGUUGAAUGUGUGUGAUGUGAAAGCCCCGGGCUUAACCUGGGAAGAGCAUCGCAAACUGUUCAACUGGAGUAUAUGAGAGGGUGGCGGAAUUUCCGGUGUAGCGGUGAAAUGCGUAGAUAUCGGAAGGAACGUCAAUGGCGAAGGCAGCCACCUGGCAUAAUACUGACGCUGAAGCGCGAAAGCGUGGGGAGCGAACAGGAUUAGAUACCCUGGUAGUCCACGCUGUAAACGAUGAGGACUAAAUGUUGGUGGGGGAACCCAUCAGUAUUGAAGCAAACGCGAUAAGUCUUCCGCCUGGGAAGUACGGCCGCAAGGUUGAAACUCAAAUGAAUUGACGGGGGCCCGCACAAGCGGUGGAGCAUGUGGUUUAAUUCGAUGCAACGCGAAGAACCUUACCUACCCUUGACAU